rnacentral:rRNA from 1 species
CCUUUGACGUUAGCGGCGGACGGGUGAGUAACACGUGGAUAACCUACCUAUAAGACUGGGAUAACUUCGGGAAACCGGAGCUAAUACCGGAUAACAUAUUGAACCGCAUGGUUCAAUAGUGAAAGGCGGCUUUGCUGUCACUUAUAGAUGGAUCCGCGCCGUAUUAGCUAGUUGGUAAGGUAACGGCUUACCAAGGCAACGAUACGUAGCCGACCUGAGAGGGUGAUCGGCCACACUGGAACUGAGACACGGUCCAGACUCCUACGGGAGGCAGCAGUAGGGAAUCUUCCGCAAUGGGCGAAAGCCUGACGGAGCAACGCCGCGUGAGUGAUGAAGGUCUUCGGAUCGUAAAACUCUGUUAUCAGGGAAGAACAAAUGUGUAAGUAACUGUGCACAUCUUGACGGUACCUGAUCAGAAAGCCACGGCUAACUACGUGCCAGCAGCCGCGGUAAUACGUAGGUGGCAAGCGUUAUCCGGAAUUAUUGGGCGUAAAGCGCGCGUAGGCGGUUUUUUAAGUCUGAUGUGAAAGCCCACGGCUCAACCGUGGAGGGUCAUUGGAAACUGGAAAACUUGAGUGCAGAAGAGGAAAGUGGAAUUCCAUGUGUAGCGGUGAAAUGCGCAGAGAUAUGGAGGAACACCAGUGGCGAAGGCGACUUUCUGGUCUGUAACUGACGCUGAUGUGCGAAAGCGUGGGGAUCAAACAGGAUUAGAUACCCUGGUAGUCCACGCCGUAAACGAUGAGUGCUAAGUGUUAAGGGGUUUCCGCCC